rnacentral:lncRNA from 1 species
UUCUUCAUCCCCUUUAGGGGAACUAAAGGGGAAGAAAACGAAGAAGAGACUUUGGGGAUAACCUAAAGGGGAACUUUAGUUCAUCUUCUUUAGUUCCCCUAAAGGGGAUGAACUAAAGGGGAAGAAGAAGAAGAAGAACUAAAGGGGAACUUUAGUUCCCCUUUAGGGGAAGAACCCCAAAGUCUUCCCCUUCGUCUUCCCCUUUGGUGAUAACGAAGAAGAUGAACCCCUUCGUUUUCUUCCCCUUUGGGGAAGAAAACGAAGGGGUGUUCCCCUUCUUCCCCUAAAGGGGACGGAGUCCCCUUUAGUUCCCCUAAAGGGGAUGAAGAAGGGGUUCGUCCCCUUUAGUUCCCCUAAAGGGGAUGAACCAAAGGGGAAGAAAACGAAGGGGUGUUCCCCUUCUUCAUCCCCUACGGGGAACUAAAGGGGACGGAGUCCCCUUUAGUUCAUCCCCUUUAGGGGAACUAAAGGGGAUGAAGAAGGGGUUCCCCUUCUUCAUCCCCUACGGGGAACCAAAGGGGAGGGAUGACGAAGGAGUUCCCCUAAAGGGGAAGAACACACCCCUUCUUCCCCUUUAGUUCAUCCCCUUUAGGGGAACUUUAGUUCCCCUUUAGGGGAAGAAGAAGAACACUAAAGUUCCCCUUUAGGGGAAGAACUUUAGGGGAUGGGAACUAAAGGGAAGGACAACCCUACGNNN